UUUCAUCUUCCAUUCCAUUCCUUUCUCUUACUGUUUAUUUCUUCUCUCAUUUGGUUUCACCUACAUGAGCGCCACACCCUCUUCUCCAAAUGGGGUGGCUGCACUCCAUCCUCUCUCCUCUUAAGAAGAUGUGGUUUCGCUUCCAUUCCGCUCCGAAGAACACAGGAAGAGGGAUUUACAUUCUGUAUGAGGAUGUAAAAUCCUGCCCCGACGAGGAUGUGCAUGUCUUGUGGUCAAUACUAGUGGAGGCCCAUACACAUACACGUACUACACCUUUGCCUUUGCCACCAUCAAAACCAUGAAUUCAUAUGAAGGCUCCAAUGUUCGUCAUAGCAUAUAUGAGUGAGCGAGAUUUCCUGCUGCGAAAUACGAUAUAUGGUUCUUUAAAAAGAAACGACGACGUAUUUCAUUCAUGAAGGCAGCAAAUGAAUACGAUCAGACAUGCAGUUUAUGCACAAAUUAAUCAGAGGGCAGUUGGUUUUAGUUGUUUUCUGUUUCUUUCAUGUGUGUUUGUUUUCGUUGUUUAGUCUAUUUGCAGUGGUUGAGGUGGUUCUCUUUGUUUCUUCAGUUUGUCGAUCAAAGAAUGGAUGGGACACCCUCCAUGAUUUACAUGUCUAAAAUAAAUAUAAAAAAUCAUAUCAUUAAAGUA